GGGACAACCACUGGAAACGGUGGCUAAUACCGGGUGUGCCGAAAGGUGAAAGGUUARCYGCCYGGRGAUGAGCUCGCGUCYGAUUAGCUAGUUGGKAGGGUAAGAGCUUACCMAGGCGACGAUCAGUAGCUGGUCUGAGAGGACGAUCAGCCACRCUGGGACUGAGACACGGCCCAGACUCCUACGGGAGGCAGCAGUGGGGAAUUUUCCGCAAUGGGCGAAAGCCUGACGGAGCAWUWCCGCGUGAGGGAGGAAGGCUCUUGGGUUGUAAACCUCUUUUCUCAGGGAAGAUAAUGACGGUACUUGAGGAAUCAGCAUCGGCUAACUCCGUGCCAGCAGCCGCGGUAAUACGGAGGAUGCAAGCGUUAUCCGGAAUGAUUGGGCGUAAAGCGUUCGCAGGUGGCAUUGAAAGUCUGCUGUUAAAGAGUUUGGCUCAACCAAAUACAGGCAGUGGAAACUACAAAGCUAGAGUGCGGUAGGGGCAGAGGGAAUUCCUGGUGUAGCGGUGAAAUGCGUAGAGUUCAGGAAGAACACCGGUGGCGAAAGCGCUCUGCUAGACCGCAACUGACACUGAGGGACGAAAGCUAGGGGAGCGAAAGGGAUUAGAUACCCCCGUAGUCAA
rnacentral:rRNA from 1 species